GUGGGGAAUCUUCCGCAAUGGACGAAAGUCUGACGGAGCAACGCCGCGUGAGUGAUGAAGGUCUUCGGAUUGUAAAGCUCUGUUAAUCGGGACGAAAGAGCCUAGUGUGAAUAAUGCUAGGAAGUGACGGUACCGGAAUAGAAAGCCACGGCUAACUACGUGCCAGCAGCCGCGGUAAUACGUAGGUGGCAAGCGUUGUCCGGAAUUAUUGGGCGUAAAGCGCGCGCAGGCGGAUCUGCCAGUCUGUCUUAAAAGUUCGGGGCUUAACCCCGUGAUGGGAUGGAAACUACAGAUAUAGAGUAUCGGAGAGGAAAGUUGAAUUCCUAGUGUAGCGGUGAAAUGCGUAGAUAUUAGGAAGAACACCAGUGGCGAAGGCGACUUUCUGGACGAAAACUGACGCUGAGGCGCGAAAGCCAGGGGAGCGAACGGGAUUAGAAACCCUAGUAGUCC
rnacentral:rRNA from 1 species